rnacentral:lncRNA from 1 species
GCGAAGCGUGGUCAUCUCUUGCCAGAAAAACGCUCGCGCAAAAUGUUCCUCGCGAACAUUCGCGGUCAUGCGGCCUCGCUGACGCUAACUAAUUUCUGGCAUCCUUCGCGGCCUCUCGCUCGUGGCCCUUGCCUUCACGGCCGUUAGGAGCCUUGCGGGUGUAUGGCCUCGCGGCUAUUUUUAUUUGUCCGCGCUUACUCUCUGCCUCAUGAAGUCUUCAAACUGCUCGCGAGUCGCGACCCUUCGCGGUGAUGAGAAUGGGCUUCGGCUAUGAACGCUCGCGAACUUCCUGCUAUAAUUAAUUGUCCCUCCUGGACUCUUCGCGG